GCCGACGUAGCUCAAUGGCAGAGCAGCGGUUUUGUAAACCGCAGGCUAUGGGUUCGAAUCCCUUCGUCGGCU
rnacentral:tRNA from 1 species